rnacentral:rRNA from 1 species
AAGAUAACCUCGGCCCAACUGAGGAUAAUAUUUCAUAGUUGAAUUGGCUUGGAAAAGUUUUUCAACAAAAGGGAUAGGGAAAAUGGUCUCUAUCCGCUAUAGGAUAGGAUCGUGUUCGAUUAUGGUAGUUGGUGAGGUAACGGCUCACCAAGCCGAUAAUCGAUAGGGGCCGUGAGAGCGGGAGCCCCGAGAUGGGUACUGAGACAACGACCCAGGCCUUACGAGGCGCAGCAGGUACGAAACCUCCACAAUACACGAAAGUGUGAUGGGGUUACCCAAAGUGUUCAUUAUUGAACUGUGGUAGGAGAGUAAUGUCCCCUACUAGAAAGGAGAGGGCAAGGCUGGUGCCAGCCGCCGCGGUAAAACCAGCUCUUCAAGUGGUCGGGAUAAUUAUUGGGCUUAAAGUGUCCGUAGCCGGUUUGGUAAGUUCCUGGUAAAAUCGGAUAGCUUAACUAUCUGUAUGCUAGGAAUACUGCUAUACUAGAGGGCGGGAGAGGUCUGAGGUACUACAGGGGUAGAGGUGAAAUCUUAUAAUCCUUGUAGGACCACCAGUGGCGAAGGCGUCAGACUGGAACGCGCCUGACGGUGAGGGACGAAAGCCAGGGGAGCGAACCGGAUUAGAUACCCGGGUAGUCCUGGCCGUAAACGAUGCAUACUAGGUGAUGGUACGGCUAUGAGCCAUAUCAGUGCCGUAGGGAAACCGUUAAGUGUGCCGCCUGGGAAGUACGGUCGCAAGGCUAAAACUUAAAGGAAUUGGCGGGGGAGCACCACAAGGGGUGAAGCCUGCGGUUCAAUUGGAUUCAACGCCGGG